UGUUGCUCUUAGCGUCACCACAUAUAUAGCCCAUAGCGAACAGCCGCUGCUGCGCGACCUGCGCCUGCCGCCCGACACAGCCGCGCCCGCGCACAGACAGAUCGCGACGGAGCUGGCGGAGCGCGCGGCGGAGCUCUGCCUGGGGUCCGCUGCGGGCGAGCGGAGCGGGCCCUAGCCAGUGUUAGCAACCUGAAGCGAACCGAUUAUUGUACCAGGGGCGUAAAAUUAUCGUAAAUUUAGCAUAUUUGGAUAGAAAUUAUUGUGUUUUUAGGAUAAAGUCAAGUAUAAAUAAAUAAAUCAUAUAAAUUGUAAUAUUGAUAGGUAUGCAAGUUCUCUACAGUUAAUCUUUUUUAAACUACUGCUGUCAAAUCAACAGGACACUGAAACCCAUUGGGUAAAUACCCAAAAUUUCACUGUUCCCAUGAAAGUUCGAUAUGAAACACGUCAAAAUUUCAUAUUUGUAUGGGUGAAAUAAUAUUAAUUCGAGAAUUUUGCAUGAUAGAAAUUAUCGCACGAUAAUACUAUGCUAUCGUACAUCGUACGUAGGCACAAAAUUAUCGUGUUUGUACAAUAAUUAUUGUACGGUUCCGAACACUGGCCCUAGCGCACAAGCACUCUACAGUCAUCAUUAUUGGUGUCAUUACAUUUCACACGACCCUCAUAUUGGAUAACAUUGAUCUUUUUUCCGACCCAUAUAUCGACCAAUAGAAUUGCACCAUUCGACGUCACGUGGUACAACCCACAUGGUAUUAUACUGAUAAUUUUUUGAAAAUUUUCUCUGGUCGUUGACGUCAAACUGACAGGUUGAAUUCAAUUGUGAAAUUAUUGGCCGACAUUUGGGACGGAAAAAUAAUCCCCCGAAUACCACACGAGCUUCAAAAUUAUCUGGCAUUUCCCUCAAGGUUCCCUGCAAACAAAUAAAGUCGUCAAGUUUUUCAGGUUUUUUUAACCUUGACUAAAAACUUGACUCCUUCAUUUGUUUGCAACGAACCUAUCGGAAAAUACCCGAUAAUUUGGAAGCUCUUGUGGUAUUAUAAGUGAGCAUUCAAAUCAUUCUAAACAAUUGUAAAAUCCAACAACACGAGUGAAAAUUGAUAUUUUAAUUUGUGUAAUAAACGAUGAAAUUCGAAAAUUUAGUUUAAAACCUACUUUGUAUAGAACGAAUUGUAAAAACGCGUUCACUCGACCUAAGUAUCUAAUAUGAUAUCAAUAAACUAAUCUGAAUUAUUACUGACUACAAUUCCUAUUUUCAUUAUGUAAGUAGGUAUUCCAAUUAUCUUUAUACUAGAUACCGAAUCUCGAUUAAACGCGUUUAAUUAUAUCUCCUUGUGAUGUUAUAUUUUUAUGUGCUUUUCCGUAAAUCGUUGUUUCAUUUUCGAAUGUCACUUUAAAAAGUAACAAAACACGGCGGACCUACCGUGUUUCGAACAAAAUGCAUGAAAACUUUCAUUAGUAGAUAGUUAAGUCUUGUAUUUUUUAAAGCAUGCAAUAAUUUGUAUUUCAUUCAUAAACAUAAUUGGUGUAACGAAACGUUUUUUGCUUUAAACAGUUUCACAAUACAUUUUUGUAAUUAUUAUUUUCAUUUCAAUAAUUAUUUACCUAGCCAAAUUAUUACAAACAAAAUAAAUCUUGUGUAGAGCAAUUUAAAUCUCGAUAAUUAUUUCUACUUUUUUAACCGCCUCAUUCAGUCGUAGAGCUGUCAAAUGUCGAUUGCGCGGCAAAUUUGUAUUUUUUUUUUCAUUUUGAAAAUUUCAUCAGCUGUUGUUUUACAGUAUUUUUCUAUGAAAUGUAAUGCAGUUUACAAUAAAAACAAUGUAUAUCGAAACAAUACAGCUUUGUCUGAAUAUUAAAAUAUGUUCUCAGUUAAAUUACUUAUUACUAUUUUUCGUACAUUUCGAUAUCAGUUGAAAAUAUUAUAUCAUAUAAAAUUUUUGGUUAAUGCAACUGGUAUAACAAGAUAAUGCGCUUUCGUAUUUUAACUAAUUAGUUCAAUAUUAAUUUAGUUGUAAAAUACGUUAUUUUGUUAUUAAUUUUAAUAAUAUUGUAAGGAAUCUAAUUCAGUGUUAGAUUUUCAAAAUUAGACUAAGGAUAAUUUGUAAUUGUAAUAAAUAUUUUUGGAUGUA